rnacentral:rRNA from 1 species
AUUGAACGCUGGCGGCAUGCUUUACACAUGCAAGUCGAACGGUAACAGGUUAAGCUGACGAGUGGCGAACGGGUGAGUAAUGCAUCGGAACGUGCCCGGUCGUGGGGGAUAACGCAGCGAAAGUUGCGCUAAUACCGCAUACGAUCUGAGGAUGAAAGCGGGGGACCGUAAGGCCUCGCGCGAUCGGAGCGGCCGAUGUCAGAUUGGGUAGUUGGUGGGGUAAAGGCUCACCAAGCCAACGAUCUGUAGCUGGUCUGAGAGGCCGACCAGCCACACUGGGACUGAGACACGGCCCAGACUCCUACGGGAGGCAGCAGUGGGGAAUUUUGGACAAUGGGCGAAAGCCUGAUCCGGCAAUGCCGCGUGCAGGAAGAAGGCCUUCGGGUUGUAAACUGCUUUUGUACGGAGCGAAAAGGUCUCCUCUAAUACAGGGGGCUCAUGACGGUACCGUAAGAAUAAGCACCGGCUAACUACGUGCCAGCAGCCGCAGUAA